UUUGUGUGGAAUGAGGUUUGAUCCAAGAUCUCUUUCCAUAUGUGGAUCAUGUGAACUUGCACCUUUGCAUGUUGGCAAACCCUCUUCUAUGAAUAGAUCUCGGACCAGGCUUCAUUCCCCACACU
rnacentral:pre_miRNA from 1 species